GUCCAGAAACGCCCAGGAGUCCUCAGAGCUCUGUGCUGCCCUCCGGGCCGCUCUCCUGUGCUGAAGUCCUCAGAGCUCUGUGCUGCCCUCCGGGCCGCUCUCCUGUGCUGUUACCAACCUCGCAGAUCAAGAUGGUUAACUCUCAACUCCUUCUCCAGCACCAUGUCUGCCUGCACACUGCCGUGUUCCACCCCGAAGACAAUGGACUAAACUUCUGAAUUCUUCUCCACAGGCUCCAGAUAACCUCAGUUCUCCCGGAGACAGAGGGGGUGGCCUAGGAGGCCUGUUUCACUUCCCAGGAAAAUUCACAAACCACAACUGUGAAUCUGGGCAUUGCUUUGCUGAGCUGCAGCCCUGUUUUUAGGAGUUGAGCACUAUGUGG
rnacentral:lncRNA from 1 species